rnacentral:lncRNA from 1 species
AGUCUGCGUCGACAUUUCGAACAAACCCUGAAGAAACCCUCUCCCUCUAUUACUAACUGGAAAACAGUUCAAUAUAAAGAGAGAAACAGAGGCUUUAAAAGCAAAAUUCUUGUUUGGACUUUGAAAGGCAAAACGUAAAGGGGUUGAGGUUUCCUUGCAGGGGCUGAAAAAGAGAGGAGGAGAGUCUGUUCAAGUGAGAGGGGGGGAGAGUGUGAUCGUGUGUUUUGCUAUUUAAUAUUUGUUUAAUGCUUUUGAGGCGGGGAAGGGGUUGAUUUGAAUUGAAGGAAGAUCUGGACCGUCGAUUCUAGCUCGUCAUUCGUUAGGAGCGUAGGGGAGUGGGGCCCACUGAAUAGUUACCCUGUGCUUUGCGUUUGGACUUUCUUUAUGAACGACAAACCCAGUAAUGCCACCUGGACAAUUGACAACUUUCCACUUAGAUUAGGUAAUUACUGAUAUCAGGCCCUGGUCGUCAAGGUACCAAACUUUUAUGCUUAACAGGACACAGAAAAACACCCAUAUUUAGUAAUUUCGAGCCAAUAAACUAACAAAACCUUUGAAAGAAAAAUGAUGAUCGUUUUGUUUCUAUUUUCUUCAUACAGUUUAUACCGUUCCAAGUUUCUCGUCUAUAAUAACCACAAAUAAGACGGCUCUUUUGUUCUUCAAAAGAUUAUGAAAUGGAAAAACCCUUUGGAGAUUAAAGAAAAAAAAAGAAUGACGACUCCUUGGAACCUGAAUUGGUCAAUAUAUAACGAAGCCACACGCAUUAAGAAACUAAUUGACAACAAAAACUCAGACCCACUUAGAAUACUUUCAGUUUCAUCAAUUCUCAGUAAUUAAACAAAGAGAAAACCCAUUAAAAAAGAGAACAAAAACCCACCAAAGUAGAAGAUGGAAUCGAAGUUCUUGACCCCUUUUGAGGAACAUUCUUAUGAUUCGUGAUGUCACCAAGAGGCGCUCGCUUUCUUGCAAUGUGAGUUGUUGCGACCGUGGGCUUCCCUAUAUUCUCCGACGCGGAUGAAGACGAAGCGUGCCGCUUCGCUAGAGACGACGUUGUGGAAGAAGAAAAAGAAGGGCGGCGAGUCUGCGUCGACAUUUCGAACAAACCCUGAAGAAACCCUCUCCCUCUAUUACUAACUGGAAAACAGUUCAAUAUAAAGAGAGAAACAGAGGCUUUAAAAGCAAAAUUCUUGUUUGGACUUUGAAAGGCAAAACGUAAAGGGGUUGAGGUUUCCUUGCAGGGGCUGAAAAAGAGAGGAGGAGAGUCUGUUCAAGUGAGAGGGGGGGAGAGUGUGA